GACGAACCACACGAACGUUAUUCGGAAUUACUGGGCUUAAAGGGUGCGUAGGCUGUGCGGAAAGUUGGGCGUGAAAUCCCCCGGCUCAACCGGGGAAUUGCGCCCAAAACUACCGUGCUGGAGAAAGACAGAGGUGAGCGGAACUUCGGGUGGAGCGGUGAAAUGCGUUGAUAUCCGAAGGAACACCGGUGGCGAAAGCGGCUCACUGGGUCUUUUCUGACGCUGAUGCACGAAAGCUAGGGGAGCAAACGGG
rnacentral:rRNA from 1 species